GCAAACUUGGUCAUUUAGAGGAAGUAAAAGUCGUAACAAGGUUUCCGUAGGUGAACCUGCGGAAGGAUCAUUAAUGAGAUUUUGAAAUCGGGGUCUGCUGCUGGUGUGGAAACGCACAUGUGCACGGCUCCGUGCUCAAUCCACUCAACACCUGUGCACUUUGUCGAAGCGAGUAAGCUCUUUGUUGGGUCGAUCUAGUAGCCUGUAAAGCGAAGGCACGUCUGUGUUGGUAGCUCGAACGCGCGAACGUCAACCUUUUCGGAGGGCUGAAAAACUUUGAAUUACAAACGAUUUGUAUGUCUUGUGAACGUGUUGCUCCUUGUGGGCGAAAUAAAUACAACUUUCAACAACGGAUCUCUUGGCUCUCGCAUCGAUGAAGAACGCAGC
rnacentral:misc_RNA from 1 species